UACAGAUUGUUAGAGAAUUAGUUCUAAAAAGAACUUUUCCUACUGCCUCAGAACCCAUAAUAGGGGGCAACAUAACACAAGAAGAAAAGUAAAUGGUAAUGAUACAAAGGGAGCCUAAGUAAUAAUACAUGAAAAUAUUUAAUGUAUGUACAGUGGAAGAUGUAUCACUUGCUAAUUGCUAUCAACUGGUGCCGCCACUCCUGCCAGAGAGCUCUCCAGAAAUUGCACUCCCAUAUGAUACCGAUCCUGUGUGUGAACUGGAAACCCGAGACUUAUGUAGUUGUCGAAUCGUGAAAAGAUCUCUAGGUAGAGGCUGGCUCUGCACAGUCUUCGUGUCAUCAUCAUCUUGCCUUGUGAACAAAAAGAAGAAACUCCUUAAUUCUUU